CCCAUCGCAGUAACUUCGAGGCA
rnacentral:siRNA from 1 species